rnacentral:rRNA from 1 species
CAUUACACAAUAAAAUACGAAGGCCGUUCGCGGCUGGACUAUUUAUUACCCUUGUCUUUUGCGCACUUGUUGUUUCCUGGGCGGGUUCGCUCGCCACCAGGACCACAAUAUAAACCUUUUUUAUGCAGUUGCAAUCAGCGUCAGUAUAACAAAUGUAAAUCAUUUACAACUUUCAACAACGGAUCUCUUGGUUCUGGCAUCGAUGAAGAACGCAGCGAAAUGCGAUACGUAGUGUGAAUUGCAGAAUUCAGUGAAUCAUCGAAUCUUUGAACGCACAUUGCGCCCUUUGGUAUUCCAAAGGGCAUGCCUGUUCGAGCGUCAUUUGUACCCUCAAGCUUUGCUUGGUGUUGGGCGUUUUUGUCUUUGGCCCGCCAAAGACUCGCCUUAAAAUGAUUGGCAGCCGGCCUACUGGUUUCGCAGCGCAGCACAUUUUUGCGCUUGCAAUCAGCAAAAGAGGACGGCAAUCCAUCAAGACUCCUUCUCACGUUUGACCUCGGAUCAGGUAGGGAUACCCGCUGAACUUAAGCAUAUCAAUAA